AUUGAACGCUGGCGGUAUGCUUAACACAUGCAAGUCGAGCGGUAACAGCAAGAGCUUGCUCUUGGCUGACGAGUGGCGGACGGGUGAGUAACGCGUAGGAAUCUACCUUUUGGCGGGGGAUAGCCCGGAGAAAUCCGGAUUAAUACCGCAUAAGCCCUACGGGGGAAACGAGGCCUCUAUUUAUAAGCUUUGACCAAAAGAUGAGCCUGCGUUAGAUUAGCUAGUUGGUGAGGUAAUGGCUCACCAAGGCGACGAUCUAUAGCUGGUCUGAGAGGAUGAUCAGCCACACUGGGACUGAGACACGGCCCAG
rnacentral:rRNA from 1 species